CUUUACUACAACCUGAGAUUGAAUUUGAGCUUUUUUUGCGCAGUCUAGGUGGGAGGCGUUGACUCUUUUUUUUAGGAAAAAGAUGAGCCAUUCGUGAGAGACCACCCUUUAAAAGCUAGGAUUCUAAAAAUGUUCCUUGAAACAGGACAUUUAACAGUCUUUGGCGGGUAGUUUGACUGGGGCGGUCAUCUCUUAAAAGGUAACAGAGAUGUACAAAGGUUCCUUCAGGCUGGACGGAAAUCAGUCGUAGAGUGUAAAGGCAUAAGGGAGCUUGACUGUAAGACCUACAAGUCAAACAGAGGCGAAAGCCGGUCUUAGUGAUCCGACGGUACCAUGUGGAAGGGCCGUCGCUAAACGGAUAAAAGUUA
rnacentral:rRNA from 1 species